ensembl:snRNA U6 U6 spliceosomal RNA
AUUAUCACUUUGGCAACAUAUAUACGAAAAUUGAAAGUAUACAGAGAUUAGCAUGGCACCUGCACAAGGAUGAAACACAAAUAUGUUAAGGCAUUCAUUGUAGUU